AGAGUUUGAUCAUGGCUCAGAACGAACGCUGGCGGCGCGCCUAACACAUGCAAGUCGAGCGCCCCGCUUCGGUGGGGAGCGGCGCACGGGUGAGUAACGCGUGGGAACCUGCCUUUGGGUUCGGGACAACGGCUGGAAACGGCCGCUGACACCGGAUACGGCCGGCUCGUGAGGGUCGGCGAAAGGGAACGCCCAAGGAUGGGCCCGCGUCCGAUUAGCUGGUUGGUGGGGUAACGGCCCACCAAGGCUGCGAUCGGUAGCCGGUCUGAGAGGAUGAUCGGCCACACUGGGACUGAGACACGGCCCAGACUCCUACGGGAGGCAGCAGUGGGGAAUCUUGGACAAUGGGGGCAACCCUGAUCCAGCGACGCCGCGUGGGUGACGAAGGCCUUCGGGUUGUAAAGCCCUUUUCCCGGGGACGAUGAUGACGGUACCCGGGGAACAAGCACCGGCUAACUCCGUGCCAGCAGCCGCGGUA
rnacentral:rRNA from 1 species